GUUGUUAGUCGACUGGAGGAUCAAUUUCGGAGGUUUGAAUCCUCCGCACCCCCACAAGGCUGGUGAUGUGCCAAACCUCCCGACCUGGCAUUUGUUUAAUCACGUAACCAUUACACACGGCAUUAAAUUCCCAACGAAAAACACAGCCAAUAAAUGUGUUUGUUUAUCACUGUCUGUGUUGUCAGCGCUCACUACUACCAUCUGUCCUCCACUCCUGACGCUCCGAACGAUAUCACAUGAAUAAAUCGCCACUAAUCCUUUCUCUUAA